rnacentral:sRNA from 1 species
UCCUAGCCCCGAUUGCAACGGCAUCCUUUUUCUUUUUUCUCAAAAAAGAAAAAGAUAUAGUGGAAAGCGGGAAAUAGC